AUACUUACCUGGCAGGGGCGAUACCAUGACCACGAAGGUGGUUCACCCAGGGCGAGGCUCUGCCGUUGCACUUGGGUGGAAUUCCCCAAUUGCGGGAAUCCCAACUGCAUAAUUUCUGGUAGUGGGGGACAGUGUUUACGCUUGGGGGCAGUCAUGGCCUGGAGGUUAGGGAACCAGCCCUCU
rnacentral:snRNA from 1 species